CAGAAAUACUAUUAUUUGGGUGAAUGCUAUUGUUUGGCACAAACACUAUGAUUUAGCACUGUACAGAAUGGUGUACGUCAGUUUAAUGCUGGGUGGUGCUGCAAUAGUAGCUAUCCUCGGUCAGAAGGAGAGGCUGUCAUCCAGGGAUUAGAUUACCACAGGUGGAGUUUAUUGGCAGUCAGAUGGAUGUUACAGGGAGAUAUGGCAUACAGUAGGAGGAUGUGGAGGGGUGAUAUGGUGUGGUUUCUAUGGAACAGGGUAUACAUUACAACAUGAAUACGGAUUAAAGAUUAAAGAAACUGGCAACAAAUUCCUCCACUACAAACCAGUCUGAUACCACUUCUUGCAGUGUUCACAUUUACUAAGGCACUACCCAAAAGGCGUCACAAGAGGGCACUCCAACACAAGAGAUGACCUAUGUACACUGAUGCACUUAGUAACAGUCAGCCUCCUACUUAGCCACUACAUAAUACAGCAAUAUUACAGUGUCCAAAUUCACAUAAAUAUGAUUUGGCAGAAAUGCUAAACUUUGGCACAAAUACUAUAAUUGAGUACAAGUACUCUAAGAUAACAGAAAUACUAUGAUUUAGCAGAAAUACAAUGUUUUUGCAGAAACACUGUAAUUUCACUCAAAUACUAUGAGAUAGCAGUAAUACUAUGAUUUGGCAGAAAUGCUACGUUUUAGUACAAAUACUAUGACAAAGCAGAAAUACUAUGACUUAGAAGUAAUACUAUAACAAAAGGGAUUCCUCAAAAUACUAUGAAAUUGCAGUAAUUCUAUGAUUUGGCAGAAAUACUGUACUUCGUACAAAUACAAUGCUUUGGUACAAAUACUAUAUUUUGAUUUCAAUACUAUGAUUUGGCACGAGUAGUAUGAUUUAGUACAAAUACUACGAAUUGGCAGAAAUACUGUGACUUAGUAGUAAUACUAUAACAUAACAGAUAUACUAUGAUUUUGCAGACAGUCUAUGUUUUUGCACAACUAGCACAAUAUGGCAGAAAUACUAUGAUUUGGCACAAUACUAUGAUUUAGUACAAAUACUCUUAUUGGCACAAAUACUAUGUUCAGUACAAAUACUACGAUUUGGCAAUAAUACUGGGUUUUAGCACAACUACUGAGAUUUGGGUGAAAUACUAUGAUUUAGAAGAAAUACUAUGACUUCGUACAAAUACAAUGUUUUGGUUCAAAUAAUAUGAUUUGCAAAAAAUACUAUGAUUUGGUACAAGUACCAUGAUUUAGUACAAAUACUACAAUUUCGCUCAAAUACUAUGAAAUUGCAGUGAUACUAUGAUUUUGAAGGAAUACUAUGAUUUGGUAGAAAUACUAUGCCUUAGUAGUAAUACUAUAACAUAGCAGAUAUAAUGUGAUUUUGCAGGCAUAGUAUGUUUUUGCACAAAUACUACGAUUUCGCUCAAAUACUAUGGAAUUGCAGUAAUACUAUGAUUGGAAUGCUAUGAUUUGUAGGAAUACUAUGCCUUAGUAGUAAUACUAUAACAUAACAGAUAUACUAUGAUUUUGCAGAAAUUCUAUGUUUUUGCACAAAUACUACAACAACUACUACUAC
ensembl:lncRNA